ensembl:lncRNA
GCCCUCUUUGCCAGUAUACAGUAUAGAAAGUUUGAAACCAUAAGAUAUUAAAAUAAAUUCAUAAAUAGACAGAGAGAAAACAACUGAGUGUUUUAUUCUUAUGUUGAGAAGGGAAAAUGCUAAUGUUAUAUCCUCCUCUGUUCUAUUGUUCUUCUGCAGGUCUUUAACCAGUCCAACUCUUGGCAGGUACAGAAUACUAAAGGACCAUUUUAUUUCUAAAUGAGUCUGGAUGGCGCACCACAAAGACUGGAAAUGCUACUGCCCUUUCAUUUUAAAUGGCUAUCGGGUUCAUCCUACACAUAAAACCCAUCACAGAAAAUGAAUAUAAGCGGUAGGAGAAGAGACUGGAGAUGUGAACUGUCCCUCUGGAACGGGCUGCCAUUAAGUUUACUAAAAAUGUCUGAUGGUUUCACCCAGACAGUUAGGAGAGCUGUGUCUAAACGGGAUCCAGAUCUCUGAUGACCACAGCUGCUCCUGGAGCCUUCCAUUAGAGGUCUUCUAAAUGGGCCCGUAGAGAAAAUCCCAAGAUCCGCAUCCACAUGCAGUGGCCAAAGGCCUGCGAGCGUGCCUUCACAUAUAAGUCAAGUUAAAGGAAGGCAUGUUCAUAUGCACAUAGCACUCCCACACACACAGUAAUUACUGUACAGGGCAGGUUCAUGGUUUGUAAGUCCUCAAAUAUGGUUUUGACCAGUGCAUUCCUCAACAUCCGUAAUGCACAUGGUGCUUUCUAAUAAACUCCAGCUCGGGCAGCGCUCCA